UAUUGCACAAUGGGCACAAGUCUGAUGCAGCCAUGCCGCGUGUAUGAAGAAGGCCUUCGGGUUGUAAAGUACUUUCAGCCGGGAGGAAGGCGGUGAAGUUAAUAGCUUCACCGAUUGACGUUACCCGCAGAAGAAGCACCGGCUAACUCCGUGCCAGCAGCCGCGGUAAUACGGAGGGUGCAAGCGUUAAUCGGAAUUACUGGGCGUAAAGCGCACGCAGGCGGUCUGUCAAGUCGGAUGUGAAAUCCCCGGGCUUAACCUGGGAACUGCAUUCGAAACUGGCAGGCUGGAGUCUUGUAGAGGGGGGUAGAAUUCCAGGUGUAGCGGUGAAAUGCGUAGAGAUCUGGAGGAAUACCGGUGGCGAAGGCGGCCCCCUGGACAAAGACUGACGCUCAGGUGCGAAAGCGUGGGGAGCAAACAGG
rnacentral:rRNA from 1 species